ACUCCUACGGGAGGCAGCAGUGAGGAAUAUUGGUCAAUGGACGCAAGUCUGAACCAGCCAUGUCGCGUGCAGGAAGACUGCCCUAUGGGUUGUAAACUGCUUUUAUACGGGAAGAAAUAUAGCUACGUGUAGUUAUUUGCCGGUACCGUAUGAAUAAGCAUCGGCUAACUCCGUGCCAGCAGCCGCGGUAAUACGGAGGAUGCGAGCGUUAUCCGGAUUCAUUGGGUUUAAAGGGUGCGUAGGCGGAAGUAUAAGUCAGGGGUGAAAGUUUGUGGCUCAACCAUAAAAUUGCCUUUGAUACUGUAUUUCUUGAGUACAUUUGAGGUAGGCGGAAUGUGUUGUGUAGCGGUGAAAUGCUUAGAUAUAACACAGAACACCGAUUGCGAAGGCAGCUUACUAAACUGUAACUGACGCUGAUGCACGAAAGCGUGGGGAUCGAACAGGAUUAGAUACCCUUGGAGCACAGAG
rnacentral:rRNA from 1 species